CUCAGGGAGCAGCAGGAUGAGCAGGUUCAACAUGUGCAGUUUCUGCCUCAGUUCUGUAAUGUCUGGAGAACAAAACAACAAGAUUGAUUUCUAAGCUGAAACAGAAAAGAUAAGGACUACAAAGGAUCACCAUCACAAUAAAGGAGACGCAAGUGAUCACAAAAACCCAGACCAGAAGUCAGGAAAUGUGGCCAUCAGAUUAUUGUGCGGGAACAUAAUAUGAAUUACAAAUAUGCAACAGACCCAGUAAGAUCUGCUGAUUAAAGCCCACUGACCUCUGACGGCGCUGAAG